AUCCUUCAGCUUCUUGUUAGAAAAUGUGUAGGGUUUUGCUCUUGGAUUCUUCUCAUCUGAACAUCUGCUUGUGCCAUAUAUUUAUAUUCUAAGAGUUCCCA